AUACGAAGGGGGCUAGCGUUGUUCGGAUUUACUGGGCGUAAAGCGCACGUAGGCGGAUUGAUUAGUUAGGGGUGAAAUCCCGAGGCUCAACCUCGGAACUGCCUCUAAAGCUGUCAAUCUCGAGACCGGAAGAGGUGAGUGGAACUCCUAGUGUAGAGGUGGAAUUCGUAGAUAUUAGGAAGAACACCAGUGGCGAAGGUGGCUCACUGGUCCGGUACUGACGCUGAGGUGCGAAAGCGUGGGGAGCGAACAGGAUUAGAAACCCUAGUAGUCC
rnacentral:rRNA from 1 species